rnacentral:rRNA from 1 species
AUACGGAGGGUGCAAGCGUUAAUCGGAAUUACUGGGCGUAAAGCGCGCGUAGGCGGCUCGAUAAGUCGGAUGUGAAAGCCCCGGGCUCAACCUGGGAACUGCAUUCGAAACUGCCGAGCUAGAGUUUGAUAGAGGAGAGUGGAAUUCCACAUGUAGCGGUGAAAUGCGUAGAUAUGUGGAGGAACACCAGUGGCGAAGGCGGCUCUCUGGAUCAAAACUGACGCUGAGGUGCGAAAGCGUGGGUAGCAAACAGGAUUAGAAACCCUAGUAGUCC